ACGGGAGGCAGCAGUAGGGAAUCUUCCACAAUGGACGAAAGUCUGACGGAGCGACGCCGCGUGGAUGAUGAAGGUCGGAAGAUUGUAAAAUCCUUUUAUAACUGAGGAAUAAGCGUUAUCAGAGAACGGUAAUGUGGUGCCUGUAGGUUAUGAAUAAGCAACGGCUAAUUACGUGCCAGCAGCCGCGGUAACACGUAAGUUGCGAGCGUUGUUCGGAAUUAUUGGGCGUAAAGGGCAUGUAGGCGGUUUUGCAAGCUUGAUGUGAAAGGCAGGAGCUUAACUCCUGGACUGCGUUGAGAACUGCAUGACUAGAGUCACGGAGAGGCAAUCAGAAUUCCAGGUGUAGGGGUGAAAUCUGUAGAUAUCUGGAAGAAUACCAAUGGCGAAGGCAGGUUACCAGAAGAUGACUGACGCUGAGGUGCGAAGGUGCGGGGAGCAAACAGGAUUAGAUACCCUGGUA
rnacentral:rRNA from 1 species